rnacentral:tRNA from 1 species
GUCCCGAUGGGGUAGUGGACAUCCCGGAGGCCUGCGGAGCCUUCAACCCGGGUUCGAAUCCCGGUCGGGACGC